GGCGGCUUCUCUUUUGCUUUUCCAGCAGAAAGAGAAACUUAGGGAGGGAGAGGGGUGGAGACUUUUAGAGAGAGAGAGAGAGAGAGAGAGAUUAGACCUGUUGGUUGGCGCCUUCUACGUCUCGUACUUUCACUACUUUCUCUCUCCAGCUCUUCUCCAAUUGCCUCAUUUGCCCGAGCUUGGACCAGAUGCGAUCCGGGCCGUCCAUGGAGGAAACGAGCGGGGAGGAUCACUGAUCUGCUGCACGCCGUCGGGGAGCUGGAUCGGGUUGCUAGAGUUAGGGUUUUUGGCUGGGAAAUGGGGAGCAUGUCGUCGGACGGGGCGUCGGAGGACCGGUGCGGGAGCUACAGCCCGAGCGCUGAUGUGAGUGAGUCGGAAAGCUCGAGCGAUUUCUCCGGGCGGAGGUACGGCGGCGGAGGCGGCGGCGGUGGCGCAUCCUCUUCCGCCGCGGGGGCAUCCUGCUCGUUUGCGUCGUCGCCGCUGGCCGCGGCGGCCACGGAGGCGGCCCGGGCGCUGCUGCCUCGGGGAGAUGUGGUGUUCUGGGACGCGAAGCUGGAGAAGCGGGAGACGGAUUUUUCUGAGGUGGACAUGAUGAAGGAGCGAUUCGCGAAGCUACUGCUCGGCGAAGACAUGUCCGGCGGCGGAAAAGGGGUUUGCACGGCGCUCGCGAUCUCAAAUGCCAUCACAAAUCUCUCUGCUACUGUAUUUGGGGAGCUAUGGAGGCUGGAGCCGCUGGCAGCACAGAAGAAGGCAAUGUGGCGCCGGGAGAUGGAAUGGAUUUUAUGCGUGAGUGAUCACAUAGUGGAGCUUAUCCCUUCCCUCCAAGAAUUUCCUGGCGGUGGGACCUUCGAGGUGAUGGUCCCCCGACCCCGCAGCGAUCUCUACAUGAACCUCCCAGCGCUCAAGAAGCUUGAUGCUAUGCUCCUUGGGAUGCUGGAUGGGUUCCGGGAAACCGAGUUCUGGUAUGUCGAUCGGGGGAUCCUGGUUGCCGAUGCUGAUGAGGAGGGAAGUGGGGCAUACCCUUCUUCUUCCUUUGGAAGGCCAUCUUUAAGGCAGGAGGAGAAAUGGUGGCUCCCGUGCCCGCGAGUUCCACCAAAUGGUCUGUCUGAGAAUGCAAGGAAGAAGUUACAACAGUGUAGGGAUUGUGCAAAUCAGAUACUCAAGGCCGCCAUGGCGAUCAACAGCACGGUGCUUUCCGAGAUGGAAAUCCCUGAUGUCUACUUGGAGACAUCGCCAAAGCAUGGAAAAUCUUGUUUAGGUGAGAUCAUCUACCGCUAUAUAACAGCUGAUCAAUUUUCACCGGAAUGUCUCCUGGAUUGCCUGGACCUGUCAUCCGAGCAUCAUACACUGGAAAUAGCCAAUAGGAUUGAGGCAGCCAUGCAUGUGUGGAGGUUAAAAGGCCAAAAAGGAAAUCCUCAAUCAAGGGCAAAGAAGUCAUUAUGGGGUGGACGGGUCAAGAGUCUUGUGGGUGAUACAGAAAGAAGUCAAUUUCUGGCACAACGGGCUGAGUGUCUCUUGCAGAGCUUGAGAAUACGGUACCCUGGUCUCCCGCAAACUGUUCUGGAUAUGAACAAGAUUCAGUACAAUAAGGAUGUGGGGCAGUCAAUCCUUGAGAGUUACUCCAGGGUCAUGGAGAGUUUGGCAUUUAACAUAAUGGCAAGGAUUGAUGAUCUCAUUUUUGUGGAUGAUGCAACAAAGAGGUGUGCAGCUGCAGAAUCUGUUUCCAUAUUUAACCGAGGGCUUGGAGGACUACCUAUUCAAAAAAGGAUCUCGCCUAGCCCCUUCUCUGUCUCUACCCAGAACACCCCCUAUGCCUCACCAUUCGCCACGCCCACAUUUUGUUCUUCCACUCCAGUGAUUGGAAGCCCUGGAAGAGCUCAUCCUUCUUUAAGUAAGAGCAGCCUCCAAGGACAGCAUGAUGAGAAAGCAGGAAAAUUCAUAUCUGGUGAGGUGGAGAGGCUGUGGUCAUAUACUGGUAAUGUGAGUGCCAGGAGAGAUGCAGGACAUGCCCCUGAACGGGACUGACUUGUGAACAAACAAAUCGAGUAGAAUGCAGUUAGCAAAGAGAUGGAUCGGUGCAAAACUCAUCAACGGAAAGCAUUUGAGGAAGAGAUUUUAACUGGCGCUAUCACUUGGCGAUUUCUUCAAUCUGCAGUUGCUGCUGCAAUGUUUGAUUACAUAUCCGAAUGAGAUAAUUAUCAGCUGGUCAUUAAAGUGUUCAUCAGCAAAUCUGAAAGAUGUCGAGAAAAAAAAAAUCCAGAAUACGCGCUGCGACAUAAAUCAGCAAAAAUAGAAGUAGUCCUAAGAGAGGAAGGGAGUGAUUAUCCUCAAAUAAUAGAUUGUCGCUGCGACCAACAUAAGCCAGCCAAUCAACUGUUUGGUUACCCUCUCCAAAAGUUGUGGGAGGUUGUGAAGUAGAUGCAUAUUAUCCUGCAACUCCAAAUGUCAUGACGAAGAUGAUGGCUUUUAGAGAGACCUGUGCUUCUAUUCAUCCGGCUUAACAGCAACCAGAUUUCUAACUAGAUUUGAUUAUAUUUGAGUACCUUAAUAGCAACUUUCCCAAGCACAUCAAGAUUUGGCUUCUGGCACUGAGCAAGGAAGAAGUUUUGUAGCACCUGCACCUACCAUACUCAACAACUCAUCCCUCAAUAAAAAGCCUGUAGCAGAUGUGCUUCCAAUCGUCGAAACUUUCCAAAUUGUUUUAAAUUGAUCAUGAGUGCUGGUCCAGUUCCUUCACAGAUUGUAGUCAAAUCCUUCAAUAGUUGCAUCAGAAAACUCCAUUGCAACACGAAGUGGAGUAGAUUGGGAAGUACAAAAAAGCAAAA